AUGGCGAGCGGGGGCAUCAAGACGAUGGCCUCGGGCCUCCUCUUCCUGAACCUCAUCAUGUACGUCGUCGUCGCCGUCAUCGCCGGCUGGGCCGUCAACUACAGCAUCGAGGACAGUGCCCACUCACUGAGGGGCGCGUCGCCGCCGGUGCGGCUGUUCCCGGUCUACUUCCCGAUGGGCAACCUGGCGACGGGGUUCUUCGUCAUCUUCGCGCUCCUGGCCGGCGCGGUCGGCAUCUCCACCUCGCUCACCGGCCUGCGCGACGUCACCGAGGGCUACCCCGCCAGCAUGAUGUCCGCCGCCGCCUCCGCCCUCGUCACCUGGACCCUCACCCUCCUCGCCAUGGGACUCGCGUGCAAGGAGAUCAGCAUCGGCCUGAGGCCCCCCAGCCUGCGCGCGCUGGAGACGUUCACGAUCAUCCUGGCCGGAACGCAGCUGCUCUGCGUCGGGUCGCUGCACGCCGGGGCGAACGCGGCCAUCGUGCAGACGCCCAUGGGAGUCAGAGCACGGGUCUGA
rnacentral:rRNA from 1 species